CAAUGUUAUAAACAGCUGUGACUCAUACCAGACAGAAUGGAGAAUAAGGCAUCCUGCAGGAGUAACAGCUACUUUAUUGGAAAACUUCCUGAUGGAUUUAGAGUGUUUAAACUUUCAACCACGACACACAGUACAGAUUUUCCUAAAAAGGACUUCAGACUGUCCAUAGGAGAAGGACUUAAAUAGCUUCUGAAUUUACUUUUGGCCUGCAGACUGCCUGAAGUGUGAAAUGACUGCUAGCUGCCUUUAAAAACGAGGAUGUACAUUGCCAGACUACCCAGAACAAUCUACACACAGGGAAGGCUAGAGCCUAUACUUACUGCUUGGCUACCUAUAGCGCUUGCUUCUGAAUUCAUGGCACAACCAGCACAUCACCAAACAUCUCAAAAGGAGAAGGAAAGCACAGUGAAUGCAAACACACCUUGUAGUGGGGCUGGUGACAAGAUUUAUUACCUCUUUUGUUCUAAU